AAAUUCUUUUUCUCAUUGAUUAUUUUUUUUCGAUGAUUGUUAUUGAUCCGUGUUUCCUUUUUCUUUUCGAUGAUUGAAGUUUCCUUGUCCUGAUCAACCGGGAUUGAUUGUGAUAUAUUCCGCGUUUCCGACUUUACACACAGUCAUGAACAUGGACGUGUUCUUGGUGUAUAUUCCGUGCACGCACCCGUAAACCUUUUCGGAAAUUUAAAGACCUUCCAAAACUGUUUUGUCGGUUGAUUUAUAUAAACCUCUAGUUAUCGUUUAGAACCCUCAUCACCGUAUAACCCUUCACUCGAUCACCUCACCUCCCCGACACCCUCAUUCAACAACCCGACACCCUGCACCUCCACACAUUCUGUUCGAUAACCACAUCGCCGGGAGUUCGAAGCUUCUGCCGGAGCAACCAUAGUUCGCCGGAACCAAACCUUUCAUCAUCCAUCAUCUCUUACCUCUUUGAUAACUCGGCACUCUCGACACCACCCUCUGUUUAUACAAGAAACAUCCCGCUUGAAGUUCGCCGAGACCUUGUCGGGGACACAGGUACGUCGCCAAAGCUCACCGGAGAAUCAGUCGCGGCCGGAGAUCGGAGAAACAAUCCGGGGAACUCGCGAACCGUUUCGGAUAAUCGCUCUUGUUCGUUGUCUUGGAUUGUUCCAAUUUUUACUCGUACGUCCUUACAAGAAGCGCAACGCAAUCAAUGUUGAUUAGUACAAGACUCAAGAAACAAGCUAGGAUGGCUUUAGAUACCCA